AAGUUUCAGUCUUUUAUAGAAAAUGUCACAGUGAUAUUUUUUUUGAAAGGAUUGAAUGUACUUUUUGAAGGAUAGAAACUCCGCCUUCUACAUCUCAAGCUACCGAUCCAAGAAUAAACCAUGGAGCGGAAGGUGUCAAUAGUAGUUGCAUCUAUGUUCAUAUUAGCACUCAUCUUCUGUCAUGGUACAGAUGCUAAGUGUAAGCAACAAACCUACAAACUUCCUGUUCCAUGUAAUCAUGACAGUUGUGAUCCUUUUUGCACACAACAUAAGUAUGAAUCUGGGACAUGUGGUUUUACUGGCGAUCCUGAUGAAAUUCUUCGCUACUGCAUUACCUGCGAUGAGAAGACUUCAGUUGAUCAAAUGGCACUACCACUCCAAGGGGACACAAAUGGCGCAUGAACAUGCAAUACAUGAUGUAGUGAAAGAUUAGUGCUCUGAGUGUGGUUGUCGUAUUUAGUAUGAAAAUAUAUUGGUGGUGACUGAUAAAGGCAUUGGUAUUUUGUA